GACGAACGCUGGCGGCGUGCUUAACACAUGCAAGUCGAACGGAAAGGCCCUGCUUUUGUGGGGCGCUCGAGUGGCGAACGGGUGAGUAACACGUGAGUAACCUGCCCUUGACUUUGGGAUAACUUCAGGAAACUGGGGUUAAUACCGGAUAGGAGCUCCUGCUGCAUGGUGGGGGUUGGAAAGUUUCGGCGGUUGGGGAUGGACUCGCGGCUUAUCAGCUUGUUGGUGGGGUAGUGGCUUACCAAGGCUUUGACGGGUAGCCGGCCUGAGAGGGUGACCGGCCACAUUGGGACUGAGAUACGGCCCAGACUCCUACGGGAGGCAGCAGUGGGGAAUAUUGCACAAUGGGCGGAAGCCUGAUGCAGCAACGCCGCGUGCGGGAUGACGGCCUUCGGGUUGUAAACCGCUUUCGCCUGUGACGAAGCGUGAGUGACGGUAAUGGGUAAAGAAGCACCGGCUAACUACGUG
rnacentral:rRNA from 1 species